AUCCGUCGCUUCACUCAAACGGGGUACUGACACUGACCGAAGAACACUGUCCACGAAAACGGACGCGUCUCCAUUAAUCACCGUGAAGAUUAUCCGUAUCGGUCGGGACCUUGAGCGAGCUCUGCACACUUGACCUGUGUUGAUUUGUUGUGGUCGCGAUAAAAGUGCAAGAUGCCAGAUAACAAGGGAGGCAGUGAGACGCUAAACUUGGUGAUUACAUAUUCGAUAUUAAUAUUCUUUCUCUUCGUUUUAUGGUUAAUGUACACCAGCUUCACGUAACCAAAAAGACAAGAACAACAUCCACCAUGCCUUUUCUAGCCCUGUAGAGUUUUUGUGCAGCUGAAGAAUGGGUUGAAUGCCUCAACAAACUGGACAUGUGAAAACGAACUAAUAUUUUAUUAAGUAAAGCAAAUUGGCAAUAUGUGUAUAUACAAAAUUAUUUUGAUGUAUGAUGUAACGUGUGGUGCGCAAGAUUUUUUGUCAAAUUAUAAAGACACUUAAAAUAAAGACAACAAAUGUAGACAUAAAGUGAAGUCAUACGUAUCUACAUAAUUGAUUGAUCGAUUAAUUAAUUCAUUGGGAUUUCAACAGAUUCAAGCAUAAAUUAAAUCUUAUUUAAAUGGAAAUGGAAAUUUUCUAAUUUCGUAUAAGCUGGAUUCAGCAUUUGUUACAAUCAGGUUUUUUCCACAAGUACGAGUAUUGAAUCAAUAUUAUGCAUACUUGGUUUUGGAAAGCCUUUUUCCGACAAAACAAAUCUCACGGAGAUAAUUUUCAUCAUUUUUCCAAGUAUACAUUUGCAUACAUAUGUAUGUAUACGAUAUUUAAUGUUCUCCAAUAGUAUGCACUUCUGGAAAUCUUGUUGUCGCUCAAACUGACGAAUUUUUUUGCAACAAUAUUAAAUCAAAAGGUAUGUACAACUGUUUGUGUUUGGUUGCAUUUACAUCAAAACAUUUGGUCAAAAACUUCCAUUCAUAAUUUUUACGGUGCUCAAGUUAUCAGUAUGUGUCUGUUAAAUACAUGCUUGCGCUGUCCUAUUUCACACAUGUAUUUAUCCAGUAUUGCAAAUAAUCCUGCAUACGAAUCACUUGAUCCUUCGUAAGUAAGUUAACAUUGGAUUUUACAUAAGAGUAUUUUGUUAAAAUCUUUUCAGAUAAAGCAAGUACUUUAUUGAAGUAGCAUGGGAAUAAAGCUGCAAAACGUCACCACCGUGAAGUUAAUCGUCUUGCUAAUUAUCUUAGGAGCAGCCACAAAAAUAACGACGGGAUGCUCAAGUUCUGGUUGGGAUGGUUGCUCAGGACCCUGUGUUCAACCUGGAGAACAUUGUGCUAAUUUUGGUUACGAACCAUAUAAUCGUUGUCGUUGUGUCCUUAACGUCACUGUGAGUGGAUGAAAAUAAAAAUAUUCAAGACAUUAAGGUUUUCCUUAUUUAAUUGAAAUUGUGACUUUUAAUAAAACGAAACGAUUGUUCGUCCAGCCUGAGAAUCUUUA